AAGUCGUAACAAGGUAUCCGUAGGUGAACCUGCGGAUGGAUCAUUACCAAUUUCUAUAUUAUAAAACUGCUCAAGCCCCGCAACGGGUUUGGGCAACUUUUAUAAAUGUAAAUUGUUGAACCUGUUAUAUUAUUCUGUGUGGUUCAGUGUUAUUACUUGGCCACCAGCAUUUAUAAAAUCUAAAACAUUUUAUAUUAACUACUACUAUACUACUAAUAACUAUAUAUAAUACUUUUUAUAGCCCACAAGCUGUAAAAAACAACUAAUAUAAAAAACAACUUUCAACAAUGGAUCUCUAGGCUCUC
rnacentral:misc_RNA from 1 species